rnacentral:rRNA from 1 species
UGGGGAAUAUUGGACAAUGGGCGAAAGCCUGAUCCAGCCAUGCCGCGUGUGUGAAGAAGGCCUUUUGGUUGUAAAGCACUUUAAGUGGGGAGGAAAAGCUUAUGGUUAAUACCCAUAAGCCCUGACGUUACCCACAGAAUAAGCACCGGCUAACUCUGUGCCAGCAGCCGCGGUAAUACAGAGGGUGCAAGCGUUAAUCGGAAUUACUGGGCGUAAAGCGCGCGUAGGUGGUUAUUUAAGUCAGAUGUGAAAGCCCCGGGCUUAACCUGGGAACUGCAUCUGAUACUGGAUAACUAGAGUAGGUGAGAGGGGAGUAGAAUUCCAGGUGUAGCGGUGAAAUGCGUAGAGAUCUGGAGGAAUACCGAUGGCGAAGGCAGCUCCCUGGCAUCAUACUGACACUGAGGUGCGAAAGCGUGGGUAGCAAACAGGAUUAGACACCCUGGUAGUCCACGCCGUAAACGAUGUCUACCAGUCGUUGGGUCUUUUAAAGACUUAGUGACGCAGUUAACGCAAUAAGUAGACCGCCUGGGGAGUACGGCCGCAAGGUUA